ensembl:lncRNA
UACAGUCAGUUUAUAUGAUUGAUAGUUUAGGUUUUAAUUCACAUACUGUAUAUAGAUUAGUUUAGGCUUUAUACGCAUGUAAACAAUGAUUGACACAUGCAUAGAGCCCAUCAAAUAUAGUAAACACAGAAACUCAAACAUGUGAUGUACGAGAACCAAUGAGGUUUGUUCUAGCAUGUGACACAAGCAUGAGCUUUUGCUUUUAAUAUAUGUGACCCUGGAACACAAAACCAGUCUUAAGGAAAAUUUUUCAAAAUUAAGAUUUAUACAUCACUGUAUAAAUAAUCUUAAUAAAUAAGCUUUCCAUUGAUGUACAAUAUAUACAUAGAUAGGACAAUAUUUAACAACUAUUUAUACAACUAUUUAUUAAUUUGGAAUCUGAGGGUGCAAAAAAAAAUCGAAAUAUUGAGAAAAUCACCUUUAAAUUUGUCCAAAUGAAGUUCUUAGCAAUGCAUAUUCCUAAUCAAAAAUUAAGUUUUUAUAUAUUUACGAUAGGGAAUUUACAAAAUAUCUUCAUGGAACAUAAUCAUUGCUUAAAAUCCUAAUGAUUUUUGGCAUAAAAUAAAAAUCGAUAAUUUUGACCCAUACAAUGCAUUUUUGGCUAUUGCUACAAAUAUACCCCAGCGACUUAAGACUGCUUUUGUGCUCCAGGGUCACAAAUGUGAUUCACUUUAUGCUUGUGUGUUUAAAUGUGAUUUAAAGCUUAAAUAAAUCUGUUCAUCAUACAAAGCUAUUGUUUCUCUACACAAGACUUGGAUGAAACUGUUCAUAUGGAUUUGUUUUAUGACACCUUUAUAACUUUUUGGUUUUACUUACUUUUAACCAAAGUCUUAAAGGUUUCUAACAACACGAGGGUGAGUGAAUUAUGACAGAAUUUUCAUUUUGGGGUGAACUAUCUCUUUAAGGAAUUCCUGCAUAAUUUUUUAUUCAAAAUCAUGUCCAAAAUAAGAGUCUGUUUGUUCUGUCUGUAGGCGCACAGUCCCAUAUGGCAUGUCCAGCUACCGCAGCCCUCAGCGACUGAGACGCUCCAGUGGGGCAGUGCUUCAUCGCUGCACAUGUGCAGACCACAGUGAUGCCCAGUGCUACAACUUCUGUAAUGCAAGAACACGGAAUGUGCCUGACAGAAGACUGAAAGGACGUUCACCUGGGUAAAAACACGUCACAGCUUGAGCCUCUGAGAUCAGGACUGAUGAUCAGCAUCAAACUGGGCACCUAACUAGGUGGUUUUGGAUUUUUACAGACUUGGCUCGAACCCUACCCCACAUUCCUCACCAUGUUAUAUUUCCUGGAACGCCCUUGAUUCAUCUGGACCACGGUAACAAGUGAAUUCUUUAGAAAACUCUUUGCAGAUUUCGGAAGCAUAUCUGGGACCCUCGUCCUUGUUUCAAGGGUUACGUCCACUUGUUUCAGCUUGACUUUACGUCUAAUAUUCAGUGGAUGUCCUUGAAUUUAGGGAGCUUGGAAAUAGACCUGUGCAUCAUCUCUGCAUUAUCUCGCUGAUUUUGUAAACAAUGAUUGACACAUGCAUAGAGCCCAUCAAAUAUAGUAAACACAGAAACUCAAACAUGUGAUACGAGAACCAAUGAGGUUUGUUCUAGCAUGUGACACAAGCAUAAGCUUUUGCUUUUCAUAUAUGUGAGCCUGGACCACAAAACCAGUCUUAAGUGUAAAUUUUUCAAAAUUAAGAUUUAUACAUCACUGUAUAAAUAAGCUUAAUAAAUAAGUUUUCCACUGAUGUACA